AACCUAAUGUUGGUUAAUGCUACAUCAACUAGGUAGACAUAAUCCUUUGGAGUAAAACAUGAGCGAUAAAAUUAUUCACCUGACUGAC
rnacentral:sRNA from 1 species